rnacentral:rRNA from 1 species
AACGAACGCUGGCGGCAGGCCUAACACAUGCAAGUCGAACGCACCGCAAGGUGAGUGGCGCACGGGUGAGUAACACGUGGGAAUGUAUCCUUUGGUUCGGAAUAACGUUUGGAAACGGACGCUAAUACCGGAUGAGCCCUACGGGGGAAAGAUUUAUCGCCAAAGGAGCAGCCCGCGUCUGAUUAGGUAGUUGGUGGGGUAAUGGCCUACCAAGCCGACGAUCAGUAGCUGGUCUGAGAGGAUGAUCAGCCACACUGGGACUGAGACACGGCCCAGACUCCUACGGGAGGCAGCAGUGGGGAAUAUUGGACAAUGGGCGCAAGCCUGAUCCAGCCAUGCCGCGUGAGUGAUGAAGGCCUUCGGGUUGUAAAGCUCUUUCGCACACGACGAUGAUGACGGUAGUGUGAGAAGAAGCCCCGGCUAACUUCGUGCCAGCCGCCGCAGUAAAAC